GAUGAACGCUGGCGGCGUGCUUAACACAUGCAAGUCGAACGAAGCAACUUAUCACGAUUCCUUCGGGAUGACGAUUUGUUGACUGAGUGGCGGACGGGUGAGUAACGCGUGGGUAACCUGCCUUAUACAGGGGGAUAGCAGCUGGAAACGGCUGAUAAUACCGCAUAAGCGCACAGCAUCGCAUGAUGCAGUGUGAAUAACUCCGGUGGUAUAAGAUGGACCCGCGUCUGAUUAGCUAGGUGGUGAGGUAACGGCCCACCAAGGCGACGUCAGUAGCCGACCUGAGAAGGUGACCGGCCACAUUGGGACUGAGACACGGCCCAGACUCCUACGGGAGGCAGCAGGGGGAAUAUUGCACAAUGGAGGAAACUCUGAUGCAGCGACGCCGCGUGAGCGAAGAAGUAUUUCGGUAUGUAAAGCUCUAUCAGCAGGGAAGAUAAUGACGGUACCUGACUAAGAAGCUCCGGCUAAAUACGUGCCAGCAGCCGCGGUAAUACGUAUGGAGCAAGCGUUAUCCGGAUUUACUGGGUGUAAGGGAGGUGUAGGUGGCAAUGCAAGUCAGUAGUGUGAAUCCGGGUGCUCAACCUCGGAACUGCUGAUUGAAACUGUUUAGCUAGAGUGCAGGAGAGGUAAGUGGAAUUCCUAGUGUAGCGGUGAAAUGCGUAGAUAUUAGGAGGAACACCAGUGGCGAAGGCGGCUUACUGGACUGUAACUGACGACUGAGGC
rnacentral:rRNA from 1 species